AGAAACUUAAGUCUUUAGAAUUCAUUAUUUUAUGUUGAUGAUGAUGAAGUUGGUAAAAAUUUAUGUCAUUACAAACAAAAUCGUAAUAAUUUUUUUAAAGCACAACCAUGAAACAUGACCAAAAACAGCCAGCCCCUUUUAACAUGUUAUACUAUUCAACAAAUCAUUGCUCCCAUUGAACACGAUCUCACAGCAUAAGAUCACUUCUGUUUCUCAUUUACCUUUUUCUUUUUUAUACAAUUAUAACGCAUUUUUAUAUGGGAAAACUUUUGGGCAGUGACAGAGUUUGGGGGUAAAAUCAAACCUACCCAUCCCAAACUUUAAUAAGCCUAAAUCCUCCCAUCUUUCCAAAAGGAUAUAGCAAAUGUUCACUGCAGAAGCUAGCAAACAGUUCGCCCAUAACAUAUCGAGGCAAUAUAGAGAUUCUUGGCCCAUUUUUCCUGCAAAAUCAUCACGUAGGAUAUUAAUACUUGAUGAAAAAAACCCAAAAGAGAUAGUAGCAAUAGCACACACCACAGAAAAAUCAGACAUGAGGCAACAACCAGGAUUUUAAAAUUAGAGAUUUUAACUGAUCAUUCUCAACAAUGAGCAAUCAUAUGCUCAACUACAACUCUCCGCUAAGAUUAACAAUUAAUAUUGGAAGACAGGAAAAAAAUACAAUCAAGUUAGAUGUUACUAAGUUGUGAGAAAGAAAAACGAAUAGGGGAAAAAUAGCAGUGGCACAGAAGAGAGUAAGGACUUCUUCCCCUUAGCUGUGAAGAGAGUCAAGGGGAAGAACUGGAAUCGUUUUUAUACUCCUUUCCCAGCCCUUAUUCCUUGCAUCAACAAGUAAUCCCAAAUAAAAGAAAAGUCACUUGGCUGAUUCAACAAGGGAAAAAGGACACACCUCAUACAAACAGCUUAGGUACACAAUUAAUAUCAGUAACCACCAGAUACUCUCAGGCAUGCUAAAAAGGGGUUCCAAACACCAGGCAUGCUAAAACUGCACAAAUCUCAACUUAUAAUAGGGCACAAUGAAUGCAAUUAUACCUUUACAUGGGUGCUAGGAAAAGCAGAUGUUCUCAGAGUCUCUUGAGUUUCAUCAAGUAAUUUGCGUUUCGGUAUGCUCAGUAUGAAGGCUGCCUGAUCAUUAGUAGCAGCCAUAGAAGUGAUCCGGUAAUUAUUCUCCCAUCGUCGAUGAAUUCCUUCACUUGGAUACAAAAAGUCAAGCUCCACAACCUUGAAUCACCAAAUGAGAUAUUGAGUAUGUUAUUGUUAAAAAAAUCCAAACAUGACCAAAAAUCAUUGUUAAAAAGGUUGUAUACCUGAUCAGAAUACCCAGCAUUCCUGGACAUUACAACACCCCAUCGGCUGCCAGCAGUAGUCAUGGAGGUAACAUGGAAUCCUUCUUUCCACUUCUUGUUUAUCCAUUUAAAAGGAAAGGAAUCACUCACUUUGUAGGACUGUUGUGUAUAAGGAGUUCCUGCACAGCAAAGACUCUACCAUAAGAUAAUAAAUAAUGAGUCGUAUAUUUCGAAGAAUAGUCAAUGUUUUUCUCAUCCCGGAGAAGUUAACCGAGGUAAAGACAACAGGCACCCCCCUUGAUUAAACAAUUUGAAAGUUGUCAGUUUCUAAAACUAAUUGAGUUGUUUACAAGGAAGUGUUGUCUCAUUGGUUUAUUUAUGCCAAGACUGUCGGAUGUCUCCAAAAUGAACUAGGUACAAAUUGAAUCACAUAAAUGGGAAAGCAGAUUGAACAUGGAGAGAAUCAUUUUUUCUUUAUAAUAAUUUUAUAAUUUCAUAAAAAGGUAUACAAUGUCUAAGUGGGCCAAGGAGGCUGAAAAACAAAAAGGUGGCUUCUUAGAACCUGAGAAAACUUAGGUCAGGCUUCUUUAUAGGACCAAAUGAGUCCCAGAUUGCACCUAUGAACCUUGUCAUCCAUGUUAAUACAAGGUAGCGGUUAAAUUGGUAUAAAAAUGGCAAAACACUUGCAGUGUAUUAUUACAACUUUGCAGUGCUUCUCUUCACACACAACUUAAAUGGCAUAGCAACCAUAAAAGAACAAAGAAAAAACAGUAGAGAUGAACCACCCAGAAAAAAUUUAUAAAAAAAAACAAACAUCGAAAAAUAUCUAUGACUAGGGCAAAAAUGGCAAAGGUGAUUGUAAUAUUGACAAUGGUAGGCAAGGUACAACAAUACCUCAAUAAUAAAUAGUACAUAAAAAUGAUUGAGGCAAUAAGAGGAAAAAAAGAGUGGAAAGGUGAUGGUUAGUGACAAUGAUAGGCAAGAUACUACAAUUCCUUAAUAAUAAAUAGUACAUAAAAAUGGUUGAGACAAUAUGAAGAGAGCAAAAAGGAGUGGGGUAUACAUCAUAAAUCUAUAAAUGUUGCAAAAGAGUGUAAUGAUCAAACCUUUGGACAUGACAACCAAGGAACUGCCAUUAACUGCACCAGCUAUUGAGCUGAUAUAGUAAUUUUUUUCCCAUUGCUCCAUAAUCCAAUCCUGAGGGAUCAUCAAAAUAGCAGCAGCCAAACAUCAAUUAUUUCGUUCAUAAAGUUUGUUUGUAGAAAAUGAAAUAUGGGGAUCGGGGAAAGAAAAGGCCAACCUUGUGCAGGAAGACAGGUGAUAGCUCGUAAACCUGGGAAGAAAAACCUGUUCCUGCAUCCAUGAUUAGAGCCCACAAAUUUGCUGAAGAGGCCACACAGCUUAUAUAUAACCCAUCCUCAAUACCCUUGUCUACGUGCUGCCCAAGCCUAUUGUCAGCUACGUUGUAAUGAUAUCUGCAACACAAGAAAGUGUUACUUAAACCAAGCAAAAUAGAGAGACUACUAAAUGAAUAAGCAACACAUACAAAUAUACAAUGAGCAAUCAAUUCUCUGUAUACUCCUUUAAAGACAGGUCCCUUACCAUGCACCAGCAAUUACACAGUAUGUUUAAAUUAUUAUAGAGCAUUGUCAUGAGAUAAGUACAAUGUUCAAUCAAAAUCUAUAAAUUUCAAGAUCAGGUACAUCAAUUAAACUAGUUAAUAAGUUUGAAAAUUAGUAGAUAUUAGAUAUUCCCGAAUAAAAUGGUUAGUUAUUGGUGGUCAUAUCAGUAUAAUCAUUAGUAGAGAUUAAGAGAUGUUUGAAGGAUAUGAAUCAUGGAUGGUUUAUCUUUAAUAGAAUUACGGAUAUGAACCAUGAUUGAGAUUUGUUACAUCAGAAUAACAGUGGCCAGGUUGUAAAAGAGAAAUUCAUGGAGAAGUAUUCAUCAUAGUAGAAUUACGGAUAUGAACCAUGAUUGAGAUUUGUUACAUCAGAAUAACAGUGGCCAGGUUGUAAAAGAGAAUUUCAUGG
rnacentral:lncRNA from 1 species